rnacentral:lncRNA from 1 species
AACAUACUAGUCAUUAAUAAUCUGCUAGCAAUGAGAAGAUAACCAUAACGACAUGAACUGAAUUAACUAAUGUGCACCACUAGUUAAAAAAACAAACAUCCUUUGACAAGAAGUUUCUAAUUAAAUUAUGGUUGUGCCUGGGCAGCGUUAUUAUGAGAGUGAAUGUGGACGUGCUGCUACUUCCCUCAUUCCCAACAUGAAUCAAGUACCUGCAUUGAGUAAUGCAAGAGUGAGAUGAAACAUCUCAGCAAGUAAAUUGUUUUGAGGAGAUAUUUAAACCAAAAAAUUGGAUUAAUCAACAUUUUAAAGUGAUCACAAUUGAGAUCAGAAAUACUUCUAGAUAUAGAACUCAAUAGUCCCAAAAUAACCAAUGCCAUCUCAUUUCCACGAACAACCACAAUAUGUUGUAUAACACUUCCCUACGUCAACAUUACCUGCAAAUAUCACUUCAAUGUAUUCAUAGGAAUGCAAUGUAUAAGUCCUCUGCUUUCAUACCUCUUAGAGUAUAAAACCACACCAUCUGCAAAUAUCACUUCAAUGAAUGCAUAUGAAUGCAAUGCAUAUGUCCUCUGCUUUCAUACCUCUUAGAGUAUAAAACCACACCAUCUGCAAAUAUCACUUCAAUGAAUGAAUAUGAAUGCAAUGCAUAUGUCCUCUGCCUUCAUACCUCUACGGGUAUGAAGCCGCAUCGUACCCCUCCUCGGGCAACGUACGAUGCUAAGUUGUACCGGUACGGUCGGACCAUAGGUCACGACAAAACUUCAGAUGCAAGUGAAUCAUGCAAUGUAUAUGGCAUGCUGUAUUUAUCAAUAUACUUCACUUCCUUCACAUACAAUACAAAUCUCAAACAAUACUUCGUUUACCUUCAGAUACAAUAUAAACCUCAAAUAAUACUUCAUUUACCUUCAGGGGUGUGAAUUAAUCUCGUGGGUCAUACUCAAAUCAUCAUCAUCAUCAAUAUAUGAUUAAGAAUCAAUAUAAUACAAUCAAGUAAAGCAUCACCAUAGGGUUCAAUUAUGAAAGGAUUCGAUGAUUCUGAAUAUUAGAGUGUAGGCGAUGAAACAACAAGUCAAAACGGUAGCAACCACCGCUACAUUCACUUGCCUUCAUCGAAGAAGAAAAAUGUACUAGGCAUGAUCCAGAGUGUAGACACCUGUUGUGGGGCAUAAAACUUAGUACACAUAUUUCACUAACAUUUGCCAACAAUCAACAAAUCACUACUAAACCAAGAUCCGGUGUAAUGACUCCCACCCUGAACCACAUGUCAAACAGCAGCAGCGCUGUUUGUUAGUUUUGUAUCUUAAAAAUUAUAACAGUAGUGAUAUCAAACAAAUACUCUAGGAGUAUCUACACAAAAUACUCUACAACUUCGGUAUUCAAUGGAUAAUUAGAUUCUGCCGUCUAUAAGUUCUAAAACAUCUGACAAGAUAACUGACUGAAUCUGUUUCAGACAUCAGCAUAGUUAACUUCAAAAUUCGAUAUCUCCCAAACUACUCAACCAAAAAUAAUGAAAUUCUGCUGUAAGUAAGAGCUUUUAUCCCUCUACAAAAGUCUCCAUAGUUGGAACAGCCAAUUCAGCCAUUUACUAGAUCAAACCUACCAGUGAACAGACCCGCUCAUUUUUGUUAGGCAAACAGGAACAGCCACAGUAAAACAAACAUAACUGGAGUUUCAAAAUUCAUAUGAAUGCACUCUUUAACAAUCUGGAAAGCUUAUGAAAUUAUCUACAACUUCUUUUACCAACCUAAAGUUUAAUUCUGUCGAUAAAAUUACCUAAAUCUUAAGAGAACAGAUUCUGCACAGAAUUAUGAGACUGAAAAACUGCUAUAAUCAAACUGCAAUAACUUUCUGAUCUAAUAUUCGAUUGAGGUGUUCUUCGCGGCCACGGAAAGAUCUACAAAUUAUCUACGACUUAUAUAUAGACUUUUUAUUUUUUUGAGGCCACUAAGACCACGGAAAACUGGCAUGAACAGAAACUGUUGAAUCUGCCAUUCUGCAGGAAACUAAAUUCGAGAUCAAAACCUAACCCCACAUCUAAUCCAACCUCUAAUCCUUUAAUCCCCAUGAUCCAUAACCUCCAAAAGCACAUAAUUACAGGGAGGAACAAGGAUCCCAUCCAUACCUAGGGUUUCCCUGAGAAAUUCUGCAAGAAGAGAUGGGGAAGAACAUCUCCUUGAUCCUCUCUUCCACUUUAAUUCAACGUGCUCCUCCUCUUCUCGAUCCUUGCUGCGUGGGGAAGAUUAGAGGGAGGAGGAAGCCGUGGAGAGGGUAGAGGGCGGCUGCCCAAGGGGAGGAGAGGAAGAGGGAGGGGGCGGCCAAAGGGGUGGAAAGGGUGGGGGCGGCUGCAACAAUUGGGAGAAGAGGGGGUCGGCUAGGGUUGGGGAGGGGCGGGGCUCCCAUCCAUCGGAUCGAGAUCAAAGGCCCAAACAUGCUCUCCCAUCUGAGCUCCUGACCCCAGCGGAAAAAAUGCCAAAAUAUCUACUAUUUCCCUAAGGAAUGCCUCCUGAAACUCCAAACCCCAAUGCCACAGAACAUGAAAGAAAAGAGAAAAAUAAAUUUAACUUUUUUCAGAAAAUUGGGAUAUCACACUCUACCCCCCUUAAAAAGAAUUCGUCCUCGAAUUCGACCACUCCAAGCAAAGCAUCCAAGGUACCCCAUAUAUCACCACCAUUCAAAACAUGGGUCCAUUAUUGGUCUUAAUUAACACAAGAACUUCUACCUCGGACUAAUUGUCUAAGGAAACUACACAACCUGAUAUCCAGCAUGAAACAACAUGCAAUGAAGCUCAAAGCAAGUCAUAGAUGCAAUCAACACUACGAUUUCACACCAUCGAAUUUGGAUGCAGCUAUACAUCAACAUCAAUGUCUUCAAACAACACUCUUUUAUGAAGGGGUAAUAUGCACUAAGCACAACCCUUACCAGCUUCAACAAUUCAUUUUAAUUCAAUGGUGAAACAUCCACACCAGAUGAAUAUAUAAGAAGAUCAAACACCUCACCUCAAAGCACCACAAAACAAAUGGUUCUAUUGAAACAAAACUCCUAAUCUUCCUAAAACUUGUUCUUGCCAUCAUGAAAAGAUAAUCAUGUAAUCUCACAUUCUUUGCACCCCACAAAAGGGAGAUAGUCUAUAGAACUAAUGGAGCAAUAAAGUCGGCAAGAAGCCAAUAACAUUCUAUGCGGCACAGUUCAUCAAAGAAAUGCCAAAACUCCACAAAGAGCACUGACAGCACAAUAACAACACAAUACUUGCUUAACCAAUGUCACUAUGCUUCAUCCAAAACUCAACUAAGAAAAUAUCCAAACUAGUAAGGUUAACCUACACAUAAUAUAAGACUUCAUCUACUGUAGUUCAGAAACUUACAUUUCAUUCUAUCAUACGAUGCACUCAAAAUACCAGACAUACAUGGUCAAUAAUAACCAUAUGAUCCUUCACACAUUGACAAACAUCUCAAGCUGAUGUAAAAACCACAUCAUUUAGGAAUAGGUGACUAACCACACCCAACCCACUCUAGGCUAGGCAAUAACUUCAUUCAAACUAAUAGAUAAGUGGUCCAACAAUGGCUCCACAAGCAUGCAUCAGGGAGAUAACCAUCAGAUCCCCAACGUAUUAAUAUAUAAUCAAUGGAUCAGGAAAAUCAAAGAUUUAUUCUACAAUUAGCAUGACUAACAUGCAACCACUUUAAACCACAUCUAGGCUUUGUGGCUACUAAAACACAAGAUAGAAGGGAGACAUGUAAGCCACUCUGGCUAGCUAUGUAAAGACUUCCCCCAAAAUCCAUAUAAAAGUACCAAUAUUCAUUUCUUUCAGAACUGGUUUCUCGGCAUAAACAAUCAUUCUUUGCAAAGAUAGUUGGAGCUAUCCACCAAACGCCCAACAACUUAAAUUCAAAUUGAUGGUUACCUUGUAACCCAAAACACGCAAUUCACACUCCUCUUAAAAACAUCCUCAAUCAAGCAUAUAUAACAAUUAUUGUAAUAAAACUCAACCAUGAAAAACAUGUUGAAAACAACAUAGGCAUGCAUGUAUAUCACAAGCAUAAUAACAACUUCAAUCUCACAAAAGACCAGCGAUAUCAAUGGUAUUAAUAAAACAAUAUCAAAAUUUAGAAAUGAAUUAUAUCAGCCAUUAAGUCAUAAACAACUUACCACAUCACCGUAAAGGAAUAUGGAGGGUGAAAUUAUUUCAUCUGCACUUCAAAAACAUUAACAUAUAUCAAAGAUAUUUGAACCCAUGCCCUUCCUAUAUGUGCAUCUGUGCAAUUUCAGGUUCAAUUUACCUAGAAUCUAAAGCCUAAGCUUUGAUACCAACUGUAACACCCUGGGAUCCACAAACACCUCGAAAUGCUACUAAACUACACAACUAAUAUUCAUAUAUAAAAUUUCGACAACAUCUCCUUUGAAAAUUUGCAUAAACGUGGAAGCAACAGAGUAUAAACAGAUAUCAUGACAAGAAAACAUACUAGUCAUUAAUAAUCUGCUAGCAAUGGGAAGAUAACCAUAACGAUAUGAACUAAAUUAACUAGUGUGCACGACUAGUUAAAAAACAAACAUCCUUUGACAAGAAGUUUCUAAUUAAAUUAUGGCAGUGCCUGGGCAGCGUUAUUAUGAGAGUGAAUGUGGACGUGCUGCUACUUCCCUCAUUCUCAACAUGAAUCAAGUACCUGCAUUGAGUAAUGCAAGAGUGAGAUGAAACAUCUCAGCAAGUAAAUUGUUUUGACGAGAUAUUUAAACCAAAAAAAUUGGAUUAAUCAACAUUUUAAAGGGAUCACAAUUGAGAUCAGAAAUACUUGUAGAUAUAGAACUCAAUAGUCCCAAAAUAACCAAUGCCAUCUCAUUUCCUCGAACAACCACAAUAUGUUGUAUAACACUUCCCUGCGUCAACAUUACCUGCAAAUAUCACUUCAAUGUAUCCAUAGGAAUGCAAUGUGUAAGUCCUCUGCUUUCAUAACUCUUAGAGUAUAAAACCACACCAUCUGCAAAUAUCACUUCAAUGAAUGCAAUGCAUAUGUCCUCUGCUUUCAUACCUCUUAGAGUAUAAAACCACACCAUCUGCAAAUAUCACUUCAAUGAAUGCAUAUGAAUGCAAUGCAUAUAUCCUCUGCCUUCAUACCUCUAAGGGUAUGAAGCCGCAUCGUACCCCUCCUCGAGCAACGUACGAUGCUAAGUUGUACCGGUACGGUCGGACCAUAGGUCACGACAAAACUUCAGAUGCAAGUGAAUCAUGCAAUGUAUAUGGCAUGCUGCAUUUAUCAAUAUACUUCACUUCCUUCACAUACAAUACAAAUCUCAAACAAUACUUCAUUUACCUUCAGAUACAAUAUAAACUUCAAAUAAUACUUCAUUUACCUUCAGGGGUGUGAAUUAAUCUCGUGGGUCAUACUCAAAUCAUCAUCAUCAUCAUCAAUAUAUGAUUAAGAAUCAAUAUAAUACAAUCAAGUAAAGCAUCACCAUAGGGUUCAAUUAUGAAAGGAUUCGAUGAUUCUGAAUAUUAGAGUGUAGGCGAUGAAACAACAAGUCAAAAUAGUAGCAACCACCGCUACAUUCACUUGGCUUCAUCGAAGAAGAAAAAUGUACUAGACAUGAUCCAGAGUGUAGACACCUGCUGCGGGUCAUAAAACUUAGUACAUAUAUUUCACUAACAUUUGCCAACAAUCAACAAAUCGCUACUAAACUAAGAUCCGGUGGAAUGACUCCCACCCUGAACUACAUGCCAAACAGCAGCAGCGCUGUUUGUUAGUUUUGUAUCUUUAAAAUUAUAACAGUGGUGAUAUAAAACAAAUACUCUAGGAGUAUCUACAUAAAAUACUCUACAACUUCGGUAUUCAAUGGAUAAUUACAUUCUGUCAUCUAUAAGUUCUAAAAUAUCUAACAAGAUAACUGACUGAAUCUGUUUCAGACAGCAGCAUAGUUAACUUCAAAAUUCGAUAUCUCCCAAACUACUCAACCAAAAAUCAUUAAAUUCUGCAGGCAGUAAGAACUUUUUUGCGUCUACAAAAGUCUCCAUAGUUGGAAGAGCAAAUUCGGCCAUUUACUAGAUGAAACCUACCAGUGAAUAGACUCGCUCAUUUUUGUCAGGCAAACAGGAACAGCCACAGUAAAACAAAUAUAACUGGAGUUUCAAAAUUCAUAUGAAUGCACUCUUUAACAAUCUGGAAAGCUUAUGAAAUUAUCUACAACUUCUUUUACCAACCUAAAGUUUAAUUCUGUCGAUAAAAUUGCCUAAAUCUUAAGAGAACAGAUUCUGCACAGAAUUAUGAGACUGAAAAACUGCUAUAAUCAAACUGCAAUAACUUUCUGAUCUAAUAUUCGAUUGAGGUGUUCUUCGCGGCCACGGAAAGAUCUACAAAUUAUCUACGACUUAUAUAUAGACUUUUUAUUUUUUUGAGGCCACUAAGAUCAUGGAAAACUGGCAUGAACAGAAACUGUCGAAUCUGCCAUUCUGCAGAAAACUAAAUUCGAGAUCAAAACCUAACCCCACAUCUAAUCCAACCUCUAAUCAUUUAAUCCCCAUGAUCCAUAACCUCCAAAAGCACAUAAUUACAGGGAGGAACAAGGAUCCCAUCCAUACCUAGGGUUUCCCCAAGAAAUUCUGCAAGAAGAGAUGGGGAAGAACAUCUCCUUGAUCCUCUCUUCCACUUCAAUUAAACGUGCUUCUCCUCUUCUCGAUCCUUGCUGCGUGGGGGAGAUCUAGAGGGAGGAAGAAGUCGUGGAGAGGGUAGAGGGCGGCUGCCCAAGGGGAGGAGAGGAAGAGGGAGGGG